rnacentral:lncRNA from 1 species
GGCUCUGAUAACGGGAAGUCAGCUGUGGCGUGUGGUCGCCCACUGACAGACAGCACGGUCCUGUAAUGAAAUUCACUAAGUACAAUGAUAAACAAGUUUCACCUGCUCCAUUUCAAAAGAGGAGUUAAGAAAUCUGAAUCUGAGAGACUCAUUUACACUCCAUUGAAGGCAAUAAUCUCAGUAUCAGACUGGGCCAAAUUUUCUCCAUACAAUUUGGAAUGAGCAAAACACUUCUGCUUCCAGAGUAUCUAAUAUCCCUAUGCUUGCUUAGAAUCUGUAAAACGCACGUCCCUCACUACCAUUUCCAUAGUGAUCACAGCAAGUGGGUCCCUGACUCCAAAAAGCU